UAGAACUCUUGCUUGGAAUUGUUACAGAUCUUUGACCACCAAGAGGGAAGCUGACUCUGAGAUCAUGCAUCUGGUGGAUUCUUGACCACUGCACCCCCUGGGAAGCCCCAUUCCUGGUAUGAAGAUGCUGUAUUUCCUGCUGGAGAUCCUUGAGGUACAGACCCAUCCCUCUUCUUCCCUUCUCCACCAAAACAUAUCAGCAUGGCGGCCCACAUUUCUUGCCAUGGUUUUCUGCCGGUUCACUUGCUCCUGCGACGACUCCAACCUAAUCGGGCCUCACAGAACCCUCUCCUAGAGCAGGUCUCACUGACUGAACACUAAAAUCACUUGAAAAGCUAUAAAUACAGAUGUCUCAUUCCA